rnacentral:lncRNA from 1 species
GCUUUACACAGCUAGGUGUUUCCUAAUCCAGUCACGUUGACCACCACGAUCGGUCCCAGCAGGAAGCCACCUCCCAGCACUGACAGGAGGAGGCCGCCUCUCUCCCCCUCCUUAUACCACCUCGCCUUGUCUAUGAGGCCCCUCCAAACCCCAUCUCUCAAGCUUCCCGGCUUCAGCUGGUCCCAACACCCUCACUCCCAGCUCCACUGUGGCUUCUGCAAGCCGCCUCCUGAGCCUCUCCCAGGACGCGGCUCGCUCACUACAGGCUGCACUGAAUGGAGCUCUCUGGGGUUCUCAGAUGCGAAGCAGCACACGGUAAGGAUAUUUUCCAUACUGUUUCCAGCCCUGCCACAGCUCCCAGCCAUCUUUUCAGAAACUGACGACCCAUCAUGCACCUGAAUCAUAUCACACGGCUACAUGGGUUCUCAUUGAUAUUCUCCUUGAACUUUGACAGAGCGUAUUCACCCUCACUGGAGCCGGGCCUGGCAGGCAGAUGCACUCCUCAG